CUCUACAGCCAUACCACCCUGAACCCACCUGAUCUCGUGAAGCUAAGCAGGGUUGGGCCUGGUUAGUACUUGGAUGGGAGAAAUUCUCUUAGGUUUAACCAUAGAGUUUUGGGGU
rnacentral:rRNA from 1 species